CUCCAAUCCUAACCUUCUCCCUCCCUCAGAUCUCAAUCCUCUGCCACCCCUAUCCCUACCCCGGCCUAGCCCAACCCAAUCCGCCGCCGUCCUCUACCCAGAUCCCACCCCGCUCCCGCGAGCCCGCCAUGAACCGUCUGCGGGCGGUAGCGUAGCGGGAGCAGCACGGGCUUCACCUCCUCGUGUCGUGUCUCCCCCUUUCACCACCGCUCCUCCUACACCUCCUUCACGGCCUCCCUCCCGGGCACCGCCCGACAGCAGCCUCGACAGGGACGACCUGGACCCAGACCCGGUCGCGGCCACCACGGAGGCCCUCGCCAAGGUCGACCUCUCCGACGGCCCGAAUGCCACCGCCACCGCCAAGUCCGGCUCCAGCAAUCCCCGUCAAGCAGCUAGAGGCGGCGGCUGCGACGUGGGCAAGUCGCUCGACUACCUGUACCGCGCAUGCAGGAUCGCUACCCUCACCGUGAAGCACAUCGACGUCGCCGUCUCCGUCCUCUCCCGCUUCAUGGAGCCCAAGAAGCUUGCCAGCCUCGCCGAGUUCUGUGACGACCACGCCUACAUCUCCGAGGUCUGACUGUCCAAACACUGCUCGUGUCUUCUCCUUCCUCCUUGUCCUAGAUGAAACUAAAUUGAUGAAUGAAUCCAUGGAUGGAUCUGAUGGACGGUCGAAUCAAUCUUGUUCGCUUGCUGCAGUAGGGAUUCUAUCUAGCAUCCGAUUGACUACUUCACCUCAUCGAUCAAGCCAUGCUCUCCACAUCAGUCUUUUAAUUUACCAUCCAGAAGACUAGACUUGUGCUUUCAGUUUGUUUCGUCAGAUAUAUCUGCUGCCAUGCUCUUCUAUUUGUAUUCAGUUUGGUCAGACUUGUGGUUCCUGGACGGCCUUGGCUAUCCUAUCUAUCUCAGCUUCAUCAGUUAGGGGCAAUCAAUGUAGCAGUAGUGUAAUGUUGAUUUGCAUCUUAUCUUAUCUGUGGGAAAAAUGAUCAAAUCGAAUUGCAGGAGCUAUCUUAAUUAGCUUCAUCUGUUCCGAUCAUGUGUCAAUCAUAUUAGCUGUGAUGCCAUUUUUAUGUUCGUAUUAGCUGCAUCUUAUUUGUGUUUCCCCAGUUUAUGAAUCAUGUUUUCAUUUACGUGCCGUAAGAAGGCUGUAUUUGGUAAUCACCCAAAAUGCCUCUCUUUUUUAGCUGAUGAAUCGUCCUACAUGCACAGUUUGCUUGAUGUCCGUGUUUAUCCAGAUUUCAGAAUGUUUGAUUGCAACAUUCUAUUGAAGAUAGAAGUAUAGGACCAGCGUACAUGAUCUGGAACCGUUUGGUUUUGAUCAGUUGCUACUGAUGAUUUAAUGCCUAUGCUCACGUUGUUGUUGAUUAAAUGCUUAUGUUGUUGCUGCAUGCUUAUGCUACUGAUUCAAUGCUUAGGAAUUGAUUGAAUUGAACCUGUUGUGUAAUCCUUCCUGUUCUACUCGUAUUUAAUUUUUGGGUUUCUACUUUAUUUUUUAGUCUGUUAUAUACGGUUCAUCUUUAGUUUCUUCUGUAACUUGCUUGGAGCUUAGAAUACAUAGCCCAACUAGUCUCAUAUACAACUAAGACCAAUGAUUCAUGCUGAAUUCUGUAUAUAUAUAUAUAUAUGUGUGUGUGUGUGUGUGUGUGUGUUGGAUUGGAGAACCACUCGAGGAGGGAGGGAGGAAGCACGGAAGGUCACCAUGGACCUCGCCCAACUCCCACCCAUCUUCCUGCCUGCAGCUGUAGGCCAAAUAAAGGAUGUUGUUCUCGGUGGAGCUGCGCUUGAGGAUGAGCAGAGAGAGAAAUUUAAUCAAAUUAGAUAGCUUCACUCGUGUCUGCCACUGCUCAUUGUCAUGUUGACAGAGCGUUCACCCGAUGGCGGAAUACCAUGCCGCAGCGUGGGCAGUCGGCGGUUGUGCUAUAUACGUGAGUGACAAACCUGAAAACCAUGACUUCGAUCUGCUGAGGAAGCUUGUGUUUCCUGACGGAUCGAUCCUGCGAGCCAAACUGCCCGGGAGACAAACAGCACUACCGUUGUCGCGGAAAUUCCGUGCGAUGGAAGCUUCUAGAGCCUGCUGGUACUUCCUAGCCAGAAGCCCCAUGAGCUCGACGUCUAGCCCUACAACCACCACCCCACGCACAAGCAGGUGCUAUGCUCUUGCUCACGUCUAGCACCGUAUCCGGCGCGGUGGUGCUUCUUGAGGCGACCGGCGUGACGGCGGCGACCACAAGCUCUCUGCUGUGAGUAGACGUCAAUGAUGCCUACUUGCUUGGCUGCUACAGUGAUGCAUGCGCCGGUCAAGCAAGCAUACAUGCAUAUAUGUACAUGUUAGGAUAGUAGCAGAUGUGCCAUAUUUCCUCUGUAAGGAAAUGUAUUCCUGAGAUGAUUUUGUUAUGUUAUCUAAACCUGGGAGAUGUGUUAUGUGAUGUGAUAUGAUGGAUGAUUUGAA